UAGUCCCGUAGGGUAGUGGUAAUCCUUCUAGGCUUUGGACCCGGAGACGGCGGUUCGAUUCCGCUCGGGACUAUC
rnacentral:tRNA from 1 species